AUCUUUUUCUAGAGAUUGCUCCUCUGGGAGUUUUUCCUGCAAGCUCGUAAUAUGGCAGCCCUAGUCUACUGGAAAGGUCUCACAUGACUGGAGACUUGCUAAUGUGACUCUCAGGAGCAGAAGGGGGAUCUGGAUCAGACUUUGGUUUGGUUUCUUAUAUGCUUGGUGGAAGAGGCAGUAAACCUGCUGGCUGGCAGAAGAGGGUACAAUGAGGCUACUUAAUGGAUUUUUAGGCUUGAUCCAGUUUAUGAAGAGAUCUAGUGCUCAGCUGUUUCAUCUCCUUAGUUACCAGUUCUUCUCAUAGAUGAGAACAACACUAGAGAUAAAGAGAAUGGAGUGAAAAACAGUAAAGAGAAGAAAAAUGGGACUGAUGUUCUGCACCAGCAAUAUGUGAUUCCCUGUGUGCUGGUCGUGGGGGGGGGGGGGGGGGGGGGAUGAAGGGUAUCAGAUGACAUGUCAUCCUGAAAGUGAGAGAGAUGGAUUUCUGUGGAAUGCUAAAAGCUUUCUUGUAACAGUGGGGGCUUAAGCAUUUCGGGGAUAGGUGAUGGAACCAGUUACUUUCAUUCCAUGAUGUAAGGUAUAGCAAAGCCUUUUGUCUCGAGUAAUCAUAGUUAAACAGAUGUUGCAGGAGCUCUAGAAGUCCAUGAUUUCACUUUCUGUUUACUUUCUGGUAACUGAAAUGGUUCUGUUUUACCUUGAUUGACUGAUAAGGGGUUCUGGGCCAACCAUUACAACCAGUACUGGUGAUAUUUGGAAGAGUUUUAUUUCUGUGAAGUAUGUUUCUGGAAUAGAAAAUGCAUUAGCAACUGUGGCCAAGAUUGUGUGGAUUUUUAUUUUUGGCUUACAAUAUAUCUGAAAGAUACAACAGGCUAGUGCACAAAUGUAUCUGGAUGCAUGCUUCUUUCCUAUCGGUCCAGUGAUCACCCUACUAUUGUGUUUAUGUUCAGCAUGUCGCCUCACUUCAUGAAGAUGAUAGGAGAGUAGCCUUAUCUGUAGCAGUACUGGAGUAUUAAGAUGAAGUGGUAACUCAAAAGACAAGCAGUGACAAGUAGAUACAUGAAAACAGUAACCCGAUCACUGCUAAACUGAAGCCAGAACAACACUGGAAAGUUGCUUCAGUCAGUGACUUCCAAUUUUUUCACCUUUAGUUAGUAUUAAAUGUUGCUGAAAGGGUUUGAGGAGAUGAUAUUAAUUUACCUCAUUUUUGUCUGCAGUCUUCUAACAUGUCAGAAACUUGUCCUGCUUCAAAUAAGUGAAACUCUUUUGGUUUGAAAGUUUUGUUAUGCUUAUGUAGAAACAGUGUAUCUAAACAAAAAUUAGUUUGGCCAAGGCACUACUUCUUAGGCAGGCCUUGCUCACCUAAUACACAGUAAUUGCACAGUUCUGUGUAGUCCUGCUGAUAUCAAUGGGAAGUCAUGAAUCACCCCAUCUUCUUUCUUUAGAUGUAUUUGCAUUUCACUUUCUAAUCAGGGUUGCUAGCUUGAAAUUUAAGCAGGAGAGAAGGACACAUGUUUUGAUGCUGAAGGUAAUUUUGCUCUCAAAUUCAACCCAAAUCUCUUGAGAAAGUGCAGGAUAACGCAUUUGUGGGCUAACCAGAAUCAGGUUGACCAGGCUGGCCUUGUCCUUGUUCCUUGAUUACAAGUUACUAAUGUAAUGAAUAAAGUAUUUUAAGAUCUUAAUAUCUGCAAUACAUAGAAUUUGAAAACAGUGACAGUGGCCUAGCGUAGAUGUACAUUUCUGUGUGAUGCUUUGGAGAUUUUUUUCAUAGUAGUUGGGAUGUAAGAUAGUGAAUUAUUUAUCUUUUAGGGAGCCAUAACUCUGGCUGUAGCUCAGUGUGUACUAGAAUUGGUGCGCCUCUUAUGGAUCCCCUUUUAAGGAGGUGUUCAUUUUUUUUCUUUCAGACUUCAAAAUAGUUUUUCAUUACUUUCUAGAAAGUGCUAUGUUCUGAUAAAAGUGCUUCUAAGGUUAUGCAUUUUGAUUUUUUCCUUUGCUUCUUCCAAGCUCGCAAUUUUAUACAUCCGAUUGUUAUACGCUGUGAAUGAACAAGAAGUCUAAAACUUGUGCAGCUGUAUCAAGUGGUAGACUGCCUUCUUAAUACAACUAAAGCAGAAGAAUCCUAAUAGGGAUGCAUGGCAUAUAAGCUAAUAAUGUACUUUACUGUUUUGUUUACUAUUUCAAAAUUAAAGAAGUUUUCU
ensembl:lncRNA